rnacentral:rRNA from 1 species
AGUGAACGCUGGCGGUAGGCCUAACACAUGCAAGUCGAACGAGUGGCGGACGGGUUAGGUAUACAUCUGAAUGUACUCUGUCGUUGGGGAUAACGUAGGGAAACUUACGCUACUAACGUAUUCGAUUGCAUGAGCCGAUGUCGGAUUGGCUAGUUGGCGGGGUAAAGGCACACCAAGGCGACGAUCCGUAGCUGGUAUGAGAGGAUGAUCAGCCACACUGGAACUGAGACACGGUCCAGACUCCUACGGGAGGCAGCAGUGGGGAAUAUUGGACAAUGGGCGCAAGCCUGAUCCAGCCAUACCGCGUGGGUGAAGAAGGCCUUCGGGUUGUAAAGCCCUUUUGUUGGGAAAGCGGUACCCAAAGAAUAAGCACCGGCUAACUUCGUGCCAGCAGCCGCGGUAAUAC